AAAAGAGUAAUUUAAUAUUUUAAUGUUAUCUUUUCCUUCACUGAAAGUGAAAUGUAGUUUGAAAAGAUUUAGUGCAUCAAUUUAUUCAAAGGAACUAAUUGUCUACAUAAAAGUGAGAAUACAAAAAGAAAAAUAAUGUGCAAACCUCUUAACAUCAUGGAUUUUUGCAUUGUGAAAUUACAAUUUCCAUUGAAAAAACCUGCAUAGUAUAAAUUCAUAUAACAUAUGAAAACAUAAGUUGAAAGAUUUGACUUGACUAAGGUGGGUAAUCAUUUUAUCUUUGAAUGGCCUUUUUUUAAAGAGUAUUUUACUAUAGAUAAGAUAUAACAUGUAAUGCAAUUUAUUUAAUGGGUAUAUAAUACCUAUUCUUAAAGGUGAAAAGCUUAUGUAUAUGAUCUCUAGAUUUAUGCUGAUACUAUGUAUAAGCUCCUGUCAAAAUAGAUGCCCAUCCCUCAAUAACCUACCAUUCAAAAUAUAUUUGGUUAUUUAUAAUUUUCUAUGAACCAAAAUGAAAUAACAAAUUUUUUAGAUUGAAAAUUUCAUUGUCUGUAAGUUCUUUUGUAUGUGUGAUAUAUUUUCUGGCUACAGUCCUAACAAUUGAAUUCAGUGCUUCAGUCCUGGUUAUUAAAACACUAUCAUCCAGUACUGAUUCCAGAAGUUUUCAGAUUUUUUUCUCUCAUUUGUUUAUCAGAAAAUGCAAUGCCCCAGAGGCUUAUAUUCAGAUAAAUCUUGUACCAAACAUGCAGCAAAUUUUAAAAGCAAAUGAAAUACCUUUAAAAGGGCUCACCAUAAUCAGUGGCAUAUUUAAUUAACGAUCUUGUAACAUUUCAAUAUUGGUUUCAAAGUAUUAAUACAGUACUUGCCAACAUAAAAACAAAUUUUAUAACAAAGCCUACAUAACAGUUCAACCAAUAUACACAUGGAUAAUAAAUAAUGAUCAUAUGUAUAAAUAAAUAUUACUUAAUUUACAACCAAUAAAAUUUAUAAUUAUUUUCUGGAAAAAUAUGUGAUGUAAAGAAAGAUUCAGUGUAACAAUCGUCACAACUCGGCCGAUUCCGUACCUCAUCUAAGGAGAGAAGCGGAGUCACCCGAGGAUUGCCGAUUGUCAGUGUAAUUAUAUCAUGAAAUGUAUUUUUCGGUUCUUGCUAAUAAUGAUUCAUGUAUAAAUAAUGAAACACAAAACAUGCAGAGAGAAAUCAUCCGACUUUAAAAGCAAAAACAAAAUCAUAAUUAGUACUUAUUAUUUGCGUUCAUUAUACUAUCUUUCACACAGAAGCCAAAUUUAUAAUAUUAUAAUAUUAAAUGUUCCCUACAUAAUUUAUUUCAUUUAAGGAAUGACUGUAAUCUUUUUCUGUCUAUGAAGAAAUAACAUUAAAAAUGUGGUGCACACUGAAUAACGCGCAUAGCAGGUUAUUUAACAGUGUGCACAACAUUUUUUAUGUUAUUUCGAAUAGACAAAAAAAAUAUUACAGUCAUUUCUUAUAAUUUAAUUCUAAAUUCCAUUUUAAACUGUAGAAAACCAUGAAAAAUGUUGAUGACGACACGGUCACAUGACUAAAUUAUGUCUAUGGGCUCAUAACAAAAUAACGUCAGCCAAUCAGAAGAUGCGUUACAUCCAAAAUUAAAUUAUAUAAUAAUAAAUAUUUAAUUGAUUUUACCAAAAUUUUCAAAAUAAUUUCUAACCAAAUCUGCAAUACUGACUGCAACUGAUUUUCAUAUAUUGAGUUG
rnacentral:lncRNA from 1 species